UACGUAGGGGGCGAGCGUUGUCCGGAAUCAUUGGGCGUAAAGCGCGUGUAGGCGGUCCGGUAAGUCCGCUGUGAAAGUCGGGGGCUCAACCCUCGAAUGCCGGUGGAAACUUUCUGGCUAGAGUCCGGAAGAGGAGAAUGGAAUUCCUGGUGUAGCGGUGAAAUGCGCAGAUAUCAGGAGGAACACCGGUGGCGAAGGCGGGUCUCUGGGCCGAUACUGACGCUGAGGAGCGAAAGCGUGGGGAGCGAACAGG
rnacentral:rRNA from 1 species